rnacentral:rRNA from 1 species
GGGUUGUGAGGUUAAGCGACUAAGCGUACACGGUGGAUGCCCUGGCAGUCAGAGGCGAUGAAGGACGUGCUAAUCUGCGAUAAGCGUCGGUAAGGUGAUAUGAACCGUUAUAACCGGCGAUUUCCGAAUGGGCCCAGUAGCGGCGAGCGAACGGGGAGCAGCCCAGAGCCUGAAUCAGUGUGUGUGUUAGUGGAAGCGUCUGGAAAGGCGCGCGAUACAGGGUGACAGCCCCGUACACAAAAAUGCACAUGCUGUGAGCUCGAUGAGUAGGGCGGGACACGUGGUAUCCUGUCUGAAUAUGGGGGGACCAUCCUCCAAGGCUAAAUACUCCUGACUGACCGAUAGUGAACCAGUACCGUGAGGGAAAGGCGAAAAGAACCCCGGCGAGGGGAGUGAAAAAGAACCUGAAACCGUGUACGUACAAGCAGUGGGAGCACGCUUAGGCGUGUGACUGCGUACCUUUUGUAUAAUGGGUCAGCGACUUAUAUUCUGUAGCAAGGUUAACCGAAUAGGGGAGCCGAAGGGAAACCGAGUCUUAACUGGGCGUUAAGUUGCAGGGUAUAGACCCGAAACCCGGUGAUCUAGCCAUGGGCAGGUUGAAGGUUGGGUAACACUAACUGGAGGACCGAACCGACUAAUGUUGAAAAAUUAGCGGAUGACUUGUGGCUGGGGGUGAAAGGCCAAUCAAACCGGGAGAUAGCUGGUUCUCCCCGAAAGCUAUUUAGGUAGCGCCUCGUGAAUUCAUCUCCGGGGGUAGAGCACUGUUUCGGCAAGGGGGUCAUCCCGACUUACCAACCCGAUGCAAACUGCGAAUACCGGAGAAUGUUAUCACGGGAGACACACGGCGGGUGCUAACGUCCGUCGUGAAGAGGGAAACAACCCAGACCGCCAGCUAAGGUCCCAAAGUCAUGGUUAAGUGGGAAACGAUGUGGGAAGGCCCAGACAGCCAGGAUGUUGGCUUAGAAGCAGCCAUCAUUUAAAGAAAGCGUAAUAGCUCACUGGUCGAGUCGGCCUGCGCGGAAGAUGUAACGGGGCUAAACCAUGCACCGAAGCUGCGGCAGCGACGCUUAUGCGUUGUUGGGUAGGGGAGCGUUCUGUAAGCCUGUGAAGGUGUGCUGUGAGGCAUGCUGGAGGUAUCAGAAGUGCGAAUGCUGACAUAAGUAACGAUAAAGCGGGUGAAAAGCCCGCUCGCCGGAAGACCAAGGGUUCCUGUCCAACGUUAAUCGGGGCAGGGUGAGUCGACCCCUAAGGCGAGGCCGAAAGGCGUAGUCGAUGGGAAACAGGUUAAUAUUCCUGUACUUGGUGUUACUGCGAAGGGGGGACGGAGAAGGCUAUGUUGGCCGGGCGACGGUUGUCCCGGUUUAAGCGUGUAGGCUGGUUUUCCAGGCAAAUCCGGAAAAUCAAGGCUGAGGCGUGAUGACGAGGCACUACGGUGCUGAAGCAACAAAUGCCCUGCUUCCAGGAAAAGCCUCUAAGCAUCAGGUAACAUCAAAUCGUACCCCAAACCGACACAGGUGGUCAGGUAGAGAAUACCAAGGCGCUUGAGAGAACUCGGGUGAAGGAACUAGGCAAAAUGGUGCCGUAACUUCGGGAGAAGGCACGCUGAUAUGUAGGUGAAGUCCCUCGCGGAUGGAGCUGAAAUCAGUCGAAGAUACCAGCUGGCUGCAACUGUUUAUUAAAAACACAGCACUGUGCAAACACGAAAGUGGACGUAUACGGUGUGACGCCUGCCCGGUGCCGGAAGGUUAAUUGAUGGGGUCAGCGCAAGCGAAGCUCUUGAUCGAAGCCCCGGUAAACGGCGGCCGUAACUAUAACGGUCCUAAGGUAGCGAAAUUCCUUGUCGGGUAAGUUCCGACCUGCACGAAUGGCGUAAUGAUGGCCAGGCUGUCUCCACCCGAGACUCAGUGAAAUUGAACUCGCUGUGAAGAUGCAGUGUACCCGCGGCAAGACGGAAAGACCCCGUGAACCUUUACUAUAGCUUGACACUGAACAUUGAGCCUUGAUGUGUAGGAUAGGUGGGAGGCUUAGAAGUGUGGACGCCAGUCUGCAUGGAGCCGACCUUGAAAUACCACCCUUUAAUGUUUGAUGUUCUAACGUUGACCCGUAAUCCGGGUUGCGGACAGUGUCUGGUGGGUAGUUUGACUGGGGCGGUCUCCUCCUAAAGAGUAACGGAGGAGCACGAAGGUUGGCUAAUCCUGGUCGGACAUCAGGAGGUUAGUGCAAUGGCAUAAGCCAGCUUGACUGCGAGCGUGACGGCGCGAGCAGGUGCGAAAGCAGGUCAUAGUGAUCCGGUGGUUCUGAAUGGAAGGGCCAUCGCUCAACGGAUAAAAGGUACUCCGGGGAUAACAGGCUGAUACCGCCCAAGAGUUCAUAUCGACGGCGGUGUUUGGCACCUCGAUGUCGGCUCAUCACAUCCUGGGGCUGAAGUAGGUCCCAAGGGUAUGGCUGUUCGCCAUUUAAAGUGGUACGCGAGCUGGGUUUAGAACGUCGUGAGACAGUUCGGUCCCUAUCUGCCGUGGGCGCUGGAGAACUGAGGGGGGCUGCUCCUAGUACGAGAGGACCGGAGUGGACGCAUCACUGGUGUUCGGGUUGUCAUGCCAAUGGCACUGCCCGGUAGCUAAAUGCGGAAGAGAUAAGUGCUGAAAGCAUCUAAGCACGAAACUUGCCCCGAGAUGAGUUCUCCCUGACUCCUUGAGAGUCCUGAAGGAACGUUGAAGACGACGACGUUGAUAGGCCGGGUGUGUAAGCGCAGCGAUGCGUUGAGCUAACCGGUACUAAUGAACCGUGAGGCUUAACCUUACAACGCCGAAGCUGUU